ensembl:snoRNA
AUCCUUUUGUAUUUCAUAAGCGUGAUGAUUGAGUUUUCAUGUGCGUGCGUGAGAUGUGCCUCCCAUAAAUCUUGUUACACAACAUCAGCACACUGUCUGACA